GAUGAAGAACGUAGCGAAAUGCGAUACGUAAUGUGAAUUGCAGAAUUCAGUGAAUCAUCGAAUCUUUGAACGCAUAUUGCGCUCUUUGGUAUUCCGAAGAGCAUGCUUGUUUGAGUAUCAGUAAACACCUCAAAGCUUUUGGAUUUUUUAAUCGAAAAGCUUUGGACUUGAGCAAUCCCAACACCAAUCUUUUUGAGAUCGGUGGCGGGUUGCUUGAAAUGCAGGUGCAGCUGGACAUUCUCCUGAGCUAAAAGCAUAUUCAUUUAGUCCCGUCAAACGGAUUAUUACUUUUGCUGCAGCUAACAUAAAGGGAGUUUGACCGUAUUGGCUGACUGAUGCAGGAUUUCACAAGAGUCGGCAACGAUUCUUGUUAAACUCGAUCUCAAAUCAAGUAAGACUACCCGCUGAACUUAAGCAUAUCAAUAAGCGGAGGA
rnacentral:misc_RNA from 1 species